GGGGAAUAUUGCGCAAUGGGGGCAACCCUGACGCAGCCAUGCCGCGUGAAUGAAGAAGGCCUUCGGGUUGUAAAGUUCUUUCGGUAUUGAGGAAGGUUGAUGUGUUAAUAGUACAUCAAAUUGACGUUAAAUACAGAAGAAGCACCGGCUAACUCCGUGCCAGCAGCCGCGGUAAUACGGAGGGUGCGAGCGUUAAUCGGAAUAACUGGGCGUAAAGGGCACGCAGGCGGUUAUUUAAGUGAGGUGUGAAAGCCCCGGGCUUAACCUGGGAAUUGCAUUUCAGACUGGGUAACUAGAGUACUUUAGGGAGGGGUAGAAUUCCACGUGUAGCGGUGAAAUGCGUAGAGAUGUGGAGGAAUACCGAAGGCGAAGGCAGCCCCUUGGGAAUGUACUGACGCUCAUGUGCGAAAGCGUGGGGAGCAAACAGGAUUAGAUACCCUGGUAGUCCACGCUGUAAACGCUGUCGAUUUGGGGGUUGGGGUUUAACUCUGGCGCCCGUAGCUAACGUGAUAAAUCGACCGCCUGGGGAGUACGGCCGCAAGGUUA
rnacentral:rRNA from 1 species